rnacentral:rRNA from 1 species
AGCGGCGGACGGAUGAGUAACGCGUGAGCAACCUGCCUUUAUCAGGGGGAUAACGCAUCGAAAGAUGUGCUAAUACCGCGUAGAUAAAGAUGGGCUCGCGUCCGAUUAGCUAGUUGGUGAGAUAACAGCCCACCAAGGCGACGAUCGGUAGCCGACCUGAGAGGGUGAUCGGCCACAUUGGAACUGAGAGACGGUCCAGACUCCUACGGGAGGCAGCAGUGGGGAAUAUUGGGCAAUGGGCGAAAGCCUGACCCAGCAACGCCGCGUGAGGGAAGAAGGGUUUCGGCUCGUAAACCUCUGUCCUAUGGGACGCGGUACCAUAGGAGGAAGCCCCGGCUAACUACGUGCCAGCAGCCGCGGUAAUACGUAGGGGGCGAGCGUUGUCCGGAAUGAUUGGGCGUAAAGGGCGCGUAGGCGGCCUGCUAAGUCUGGAGUGAAAGUCCUGCUUUCAAGGUGGGAAUUGCUUUGGAUACUGGUGGGCUGGAGUGCAGGAGAGGAAAGCGGAAUUACCGGUGUAGCGGUGAAAUGCGUAGAGAUCGGUAGGAACACCAGUGGCGAAGGCGGCUUUCUGGACUGAAACUGACGCUGAGGCGCGAAAGCGUGGGGAGCAAACAGGAUUAGAUACCCUGGU